UUUUCAGGAAAAAAUUGUUUCCUUUAAAAUAUUUAAAAUAUAUAGCAUGUGUAUUUUUUGAUUAUGAAUACCUCUUUCCUCGAACAAAAUACCCGUUAAACUAUAAAAUUUGUCCCUAAUUUGUAUUUGUGUAAAACUCUCAUCAUUGUCACAAAUAUCAUACAUGUCAACUUAUAAACCCUAAAAGACUUCCACAUCUUGUAGUUUUAUAGUUACCUCUCCAAAGGGUAUAUGAAAUGUGUUCGUUUCAUGCCAACAUCUUUUUAGUUAGGCGGAUAUCAAUGCACUAUCAAACCUCCGAUUAUCACACAUAAUAACUCCAGCAAAACUACCCAAAGUUAUGUAUUUAAUAACUUUGGGUGGAAUGGGGUUUUGGCGAAUAAACCUUCAAAGCUUUUCGUUACCUCUUCUAACUCGUAAUAACCCGUUAUCUUUUAAUUUUGUAGGACCCGAAAAAAACUAAUCAACUUUGUACCUCGUUCCGCUAAGAAACAAUAGUUGUUUGUUCAGGGGACCACCAGUGUAACAAAACACCGUUAGAAAUGGCGACUUUAAGUGUAUAUUUUUUUUAAAGUAGUGAACAGGGAAGCAAGAAAAUAACUCUUGGGUUGGGGGUCUUUUUCACAAAUGGUCCCCCGUUAGAAAACAAGUACUCGUGAUGUUAUUAUACCAGAUUCAAAAAACUAAAAGAAAAGUCCAAAGGGAAAAUUGCCAUUUCAAAUGGCAAUAUGGUAGUAAAUCGCCAUUCCUAAUGGCUAUGUAGCAUUAAUUCGCCUUUCCUAAUGGCUAUGUAGUAGGAAAUCGCCAUUUGAAACGACUUUGUUGAAGAAAUCAUCAUUUUAAAUGGCUAUGUGGCAGAAUCGCCAUUUUAAAAGGCUAAUUUUAUUUAAAUUGUUAUUCCUAUUGGCGAUUUCGCAGGAAUUAUUACCUACUCCAAUCAUAUAUCUUUACAUUCCCUGAAUUAUUCCUUACAAGACCUAUGAAAUUUUUUUUCAAAAACUGAAGUAGUU
rnacentral:lncRNA from 1 species